GGGCGCGCAAAUAAGGGGGACCUUGGGGCUCCUGGGUGAGGUCCCCUCUGUCCGACUUUCCGGAGCCCUUUUGUGUGGGGAGAGGAUAUCAGGACCGCGCCUCUCCCACCGCGCGUCCGGUGGGAAAAUGCGGCUUCUUUCAGGGAAAUGCCAACGUCCCCCUGAGCCGAGAGCUCCUGCUACGGACGAGUGCGGGGCGCGUGGCCUCUCGGCAGCAUCCCACAAAGCCCAAGGGGCACCAGCUCGCACCAUGUGGACCGCGGAUGAGAUUGCGCGGCUCUGUUAUGAGCACUAUGGGAGAACGCUGCCCAAGCAAGGGAAGCCUGCGCCCAACCGCGAGUGGACGUUGCUCGCAGCCGUGGUGAAGAUACAACCUACAGCUGACCAGACCUGCGACCGCCCUGACAGACCGGUGCAAGUGACAAAGGAAGUUGUCUCAAUGGGAACAGGAACCAAAUGCAUAGGCCAGUCCAAAAUGAGGAAGAGCGGAGACAUCCUCAAUGAUAGCCAUGCUGAGGUCAUAGCCAGAAGGAGUUUCCAAAGGUACCUUCUCCAUCAGCUCCACUUGGCAGCCACCCUGAAGGAGGAUAGCAUCUUUGUCCCAGGAACUCAGAGAGAACUGUGGAAACUCAGACCAGACCUCUUGUUUGUGUUUUUCUCCAGCCAUACACCCUGUGGGGAUGCCUCCAUCAUUCCAAUGCUUGAGUUUGAAGAUCAGCCUUGCUGUCCUGUCAGUAGAGAUUGGGCCGAUAACCCAUCAGUAGAAGCUAGUGAUAACCUAGAAGCUCCUGAAGAUAAAAGGAAAUGUGAAGACUCAGAUAGUCCUGUGACCAAAAAGAUGAGGCUUGAGCCCAGGACUCCUGAUGGUAUGGCUCACCAUCAGAGUUUUGGCAACCAGGAAAGUGGCCCUAAUUCACCAGAUGUCAGCAGCUCUAAUCUCACUGCAGAGGAACUAGCCACUGUCACUGGAAUGGCCCCCGGGGGCGCCAAAGUGGUGGACGUUUAUAGAACUGGAGCCAAGUGUGUGCCUGGAGAAGCUGGAGACUCAGGGAAGCCUGGUGCUGCCUAUCACCGGGUGGGGCUGCUCCGAGUGAAGCCAGGCCGUGGGGACAGGACUUGCUCCAUGUCCUGCAGUGACAAGCUGGCACGGUGGAACGUCCUCGGAUGCCAGGGGGCACUGUUGAUGCACUUCCUAGAAGAGCCCAUCUACCUGUCAGCUGUGGUCAUUGGGAAGUGCCCGUUCAGCCAGGAGGCCAUGCAGAGAGCACUGAUUGGGAGGUGUCAGAAUGUCUCAGCUUUACCCAAAGGCUUUGGAGUUCAAGAAGUGAAAAUACAGCAGUCAGAUUUACUAUUUGAACAGAGCCGCUGUGCAGUACAGUCAAAAAAGGCUGAGAACCAAGGCCGACUUGUUCCUUGUGGGGCAGCUAUCAGCUGGAGUGCAGUUCCUGAGCAGCCACUGGAUGUCACCGCCAAUGGCUUUCCGCAGGGAACAACAAAGAAAGGAAUCGGACGCCUUCAAGCCAGAUCCCGAAUCAGCAAAGUAGAGCUCUUUGGGUCAUUCCAGAAGCUGCUAAGCAGUAUUUCAGAGGACAAGUGGCCAGACUCCCUCAGGGUGCAGAAGCUAGUGACAUACCAUGAGUACAAGGAGGCCGCAUCCACUUACCAGCAGGCCUGGAGUGCACUCCGGAAGCAGGCGUUUGGAUCCUGGAUCAGAAACCCACCGGAUUAUCAACAAUUUAAAUGAGCAAAGUUUACUGGCAGCAGGGUGUUUUCCAUUCAUUCAUUCUGGACUGCCUUCUUCCUACAUGCUGGAUAAGCCUUAGCUUUUCUUGUGGCUGAUCAGGAAAAAAAGACUGCCAUCUACCAGAGCAAAAUAUCCUUCUGUGUGAGAUGGAUGGAAUUCUGGACAUGGAACAAUCUAUACUUGACUGAAAUAGCUCACUGCUAAAACAGCAUCUUGCUAAUGACCUUGGUAUGUGUCCUGUGUUUUAUUGCUUCUUUAAGAAUAAGAAUUUGGAAUGUGAUGCUUUAAAAGUACUCUGCAAUAGCUCCAUUCUGUGUGUUCCUACAUUGAUUUGGCAAGUACUUAUUGGGCUGAGAUGAUGUUUGAAUCUCUGCAAGUUUUAGAGUUUCGCCAGUCAUAGUGGACAUGUAUUUUGUAUAUCCAGCCUUUUUUCGUUUGGAGAACCACCCUUUCCUGCUUUACCCAUGCUUGGAUGAAGUGAACUUUACUCCUUGGCUCCAGGAAUGUGAGCCAGCCCUGAACAGUCCUGGAACUAGUGCCAGAGUGAUCAGCUCCCUGGACUUCUGCCACGUCCUGCCUGCUGUUUGCCAUCCACAGUGGAGUGUCACUCCAGGACCCUUUUGCUCCGGACGUGUAAGAUCCCCUAUCCUUUAAACCACUGAUGUCUCUGUCACUGACUCUGGGCUCUAUCUUCAGUCUGAGGCUGGGCAAGUACACAGGCCUUGAAGGCCUGCGGGGUACAGCCCAACAUUCUCCUUUGUUAAAUUUGGUGUUUUAUUAAUAGACAUAAUGAUGAACUAUAUAACCCAUUCUUGGGCUAAGCGUUACCUGGUCAUGAUUGUCUUGGUAUACUACUGAAUUUUAUUUACUAAUAUUUAGGAUUUUUCUACGUUGAUGAGAUCAAUGUAUAAUUUUUCUCAAAGUUUUGGCCAUUGAGAUUUUGUCUCAAAAUUAAUUUUUAUUCCCUUUUCCUAAUCUCUGAAAUUUUAAGAAAGGAUUAACGGUUCCUUACAUAGUUUGAUAAAAUUCAUCUGUAAAAUCUGACUAGUGUCUGUUACAGACUAGAGUCGGGGGAGACUACAUGCAGCUUUUUUUUUUUUGGCCACACUGCAUGGGAUUGUGGGAUUUUAGUUCCCCGACCAAGGAUUGAGCCCAGGCCCUCGGCAGUGAAAGCACGGAGUCCUAACCACUGGACUGCCAAGGAAUUCCCUUUUUAAAAAAAAAAACCUUCACUCAUCUGUUGCAUUUUAAAAGCAAUAUUAACAAAUCCAUUUUUAUUGACUGAUAUUACAAAUAAGGCUGCUUUAAUAGUUUUUAUAGGUAACAGUUAUUCUCUCCUCGGUUCCAAUACUUUCUACAUACCACUUACAACAGUGCUUUGUAAUUGUUUAUGUGUUGGUUACCACCAGACUGUAAGCUCCUGGAGUAGGGGGUAAUGCUUUAUUCAUAUCUGCCCCAGUGUCUAGCACAGUGUGAGACACACUGUAAACAGGGGGAAAAAAAUCACAAAAUGACACUGCCACCUAUGUCUUUUCUCUUAAAUCUCAAGUUUGGAGUCUCAGUUCUGCCACUUGGUAGCAGUGUGGCUGGCUGCAAGAAUGACACUAUCUCGUAAGGGCUUUUUGAAGAUUAAUUGCAACAAUGUAUGUAAAUUAUCUGGUAUAUCUAGUGAGUGCUCAGUAAAUGCUAACUAUAAACUACUUUUAAAAGAAAAACAGUUGGCUUUCUGAUCCCAUCUGGAAAGCUGACAUUAGUAGAGUACUUGGAGGGAUUGCUUACAUAAUUUGGUAAAGAUGAAGUUAAAUCUUUGUUCCUUCCCCAGUAGAAAGUUGGAUAGUCAUUUUAACUACAUGUUCUUAGAUCCCUGGAUGCCUGGUUUCUUUAUUCUGAUGAUCUGUGUAAUGGCUCUCGCCUCCAGACACAGUCUGUCUGGGGAAGACUUAGGGAAGUAAAUAAGCAUUUCCUUUUAAAUGCAUCUGUGUAGUGGCAAGCCUACACAUCUAAUUUGUGAGAAAUCAUAAAAUGUAUGGCCUGGAAAAAUCUGAAUCUUCAUUUGUAGAAAGUGGUUGUAAAGCAGCGCCAUGAAUGCAGGUACAUACACAGGCUAUACGUGUAUGGUUAUCAUUCCAACACGGUAUGUAAUAGUAAAAGACUACAAACCACCCAAAUGCCAUUAAUAGGACACUAGUUAGGAAUGUUGCUGAAAACUCGGCCUCUGUGCACCAAUGCUGCAUUCAAUCUAGGAGACAAGAGUUUUGGGUGAAGCAGAAAAGCUUUACUGCUUUGCCAAGCAAAGGGGGGACACAGUGGUCUCGUGCCUCGAAAUCUGUGUAUCCCAACGCCGCUGGGAGGAUUUGGUGAGGAAUUUUAUAGCAAUGGGCAGAGUUGCCCUUAAGAUUAGGGUGUGUGCAGGGCCUGCAUCCCUUUAAUCUGGCCUCAGGUGGUCUCCUACUGAGCUUCUCUGUUUCCCUUAAUUUGGCCUCAGGUGGUCUCUCUCUUUUUUAAAAAAUAUUUA